rnacentral:tRNA from 1 species
UAUUUUGUAGUUAAACUAUAAUAAGGAUUUUGGAAAUCCUAGUUGAAUUCCCUAGUCAUUAGUUUAA